rnacentral:rRNA from 1 species
GAGCUUGCUCUCUGGAUUCAGCGGCGGACGGGUGAGUAAUGCCUAGGAAUCUGCCUGGUAGUGGGGGACAACAGUUGGAAACGACUGCUAAUACCGCAUACGUCCUACGGGAGAAAGCAGGGGACCUUCGGGCCUUGCGCUAUCAGAUGAGCCUAGGUCGGAUUAGCUAGUAGGUGAGGUAAUGGCUCACCUAGGCGACGAUCCGUAACUGGUCUGAGAGGAUGAUCAGUCACACUGGAACUGAGACACGGUCCAGACUCCUACGGGAGGCAGCAGUGGGGAAUAUUGGACAAUGGGCGAAAGCCUGAUCCAGCCAUGCCGCGUGUGUGAAGAAGGUCUUCGGAUUGUAAAGCACUUUAAGUUGGGAGGAAGGGCAGUAAGUUAAUACCUUGCUGUUUUGACGUUACCAACAGAAUAAGCACCGGCUAACUUCGUGCCAGCAGCCGCGGUAAUACGAAGGGUGCAAGCGUUAAUCGGAAUUACUGGGCGUAAAGCGCGCGUAGGUGGUUCAGCAAGUUGAAGGUGAAAUCCCCGGGCUCAACCUGGGAACUGCCUCCAAAACUACUGAGCUAGAGUACGGUAGAGGGUAGUGGAAUUUCCUGUGUAGCGGUGAAAUGCGUAGAUAUAGGAAGGACACCAGUGGCGAAGGCGACUACCUGGACUGAUACUGACACUGAGUGCGAAGCGUGGGGAGCAACAGGAUUAGAUAC